rnacentral:rRNA from 1 species
AUGGAUGGCAAACCAAAAAUUAUGUUUUGGAACAUGCGUGGCCUUAACUCUGGCGCCAAACGAUCUGCCAUCCAUAGCGUUAUCUCCUCGGACCUGCCGGUCAUCGCCUGUCUCCAGGAGACCAAACUAGACAUCGUCAUCCCUCCAUUGGUCUCAAAAACGCUCGGCCCUUCCUUCAACGCUUUCUUCUAUCUAUCCAUGGCCGGCACCUGCGGUGGGAUUCUUCUCGCAUGGCACACCUCCGAGCUAGUCAUCUCCAACCUGAUCAUCGGCGCUAAUCACAUAACUACAUCGGUCUCCUCGCUCUCUGUCGAGCACCCAUUCUGGCUCACUGGCGUCUACGGGCCGCAAGCCGAGGCCGAUAAGAUGUCCUUCCUGCAAGACCUGCAAGACGUGCGUGCCAACUGCGCCGGCCCGUGGAUCUUAGGCAGUGACUUUAACAUGAUCGUCGCGGCUGCACACAAAAACAACUCUCGCCUCAACAUGCGCCUCAUCCGCCGUUUCAUGGCUGACAUGGAGCUUAGGGAUUUGUAUCUUCAUGGUAGGUGGUACACCUGGGCCAGCGAGCACGAGAACCCAACCUUGGUCAGGAUCGACAGGGUGUUAUGCACCACUACUUGGGAGUCCGCCUUUCCUAGCUGCCUCCUGCGCUGCCUAUCUUCCACUGCUUCAGACCACUGCCCUCUCGUGCUUGACUGCACCCCGCGCUCUCCGGGUGUGCGUCGCUUUCACUUCGAGAAGUUUUGGCCUCAUAUGACAGGCUUCAUGUAG